rnacentral:hammerhead_ribozyme from 1 species
AUCCAUCUGACGAGUCCCAAAUAGGACGAAACGCGCGCCAACAU